GUAAGGAAUAUUGGACAAUGGGCGCAAGCCUGAUCCAGCCAUGCCGCGUGAAGGAUGAAGGCCCUAUGGGUUGUAAACUUCUUUUGGUAGGGAAAAAACCCCUCGAUGCGUCGGGGGCUGAUGGUACCUACAGAAUAAGGAUCGGCUAACUCCGUGCCAGCAGCCGCGGUAAUACGGAGGAUCCAAGCGUUAUCCGGAUUUAUUGGGUUUAAAGGGUGCGUAGGCGGAUAAAUAAGUCAGUGGUGAAAGCCUGCAGCUUAACUGCAGAACUGCCAUUGAUACUGUUUAUCUUGAAUAUAGUUGAGGUGGGCGGAAUAUGACAUGUAGUGGUGAAAUACUUAGAUAUGUCAUAGAACACCGAUUGCGAAGGCAGCUCACUAAGCUAUGAUUGACGCUGAGGCACGAAAGCGUGGGUAGCAAACAGGAUUAGAAACCCCAGUAGUCC
rnacentral:rRNA from 1 species